UUAAGUUCAGCGGGUAUCCCUACCUGAUCCGAGGUCAAUCAUGAAAAAUGGGGGGUUUUGGCGCGCGACCACCAGACGCUAUAGCGAGAAGAAUUACUACGCUUAGAGCCUAAUGGUUACUGCCACUGAUUUUAAGGGCUGCCUGUGAUGGCAUGCCCCAACACCAAGCAAAGCUUGAAGGGUGAUAAUGACGCUCGAAC
rnacentral:misc_RNA from 1 species